rnacentral:rRNA from 1 species
UUCUGUUUGAUCCCGGCGGAGGUUACUGCUAUCGAGGUUCGACUAAGCCAUGCGAGUCGAAUGUAGCAAUACAUGGCGUACUGCUCAGUAACACGUGGACAACCUACCCUUAGGUCGGGGAUAAACCCGGGAAACUGGGUAUAAUACCCGAUAGUCCUCGAAUGCUGGAAUGCAUCGAGGUCUAAAGCUCCGGCGCCUAAGGAUGGGUCUGCGGCCUAUCAGGUAGUAGUGGGUGUAGCGUACCUACUAGCCUACGACGGGUACGGGUUGUGAGAGCAAGAGCCCGGAGAUGGAUUCUGAGACACGAAUCCAGGCCCUACGGGGUGCAGCAGGCGCGAAAACUUUACAAUACUGGAAACAGCGAUAAGGGGACCUCGAGUGCCAGGUUACAAAUCUGGCUGUCGUGAUGCCUAAAAAGCAUUGCAUAGCAAGGGCCGGGCAAGACCGGUGCCAGCCGCCGCGGUAACACCGGCGGCUCGAGUGGUAACCGCUAUUAUUGGGUCUAAAGGGUCUGUAGCCGGCCGGAUAAGUCUUUUGGGAAAUCUGGCAGCUUAACUGUCAGGCUUUCAGAGGAUACUGUCUGGCUCGAGGCCGGGAGAGGUGAGAGGUACUUCAGGGGUAGGGGGAAAUCUUGUAAUCUGAAGGACCACCA